rnacentral:misc_RNA from 1 species
CACUAUAAAAAUUCUCUUUUCCCCCGCCAAGCUCUACAAUUUCUGUACCUAUUUACUUAUACUCAUUUCAUAUGUUUUAAUACAGGCAUGCCAAAAUUUAAAUGAAUAUUAGUCACAUGAUGUCUUGUUGCAUGAUUUCUGUUUGCUAUUGAUCCUACAUUUUUUCUAUGUAUCUGGAGUUUAGCUUAUUUUAAUGUAUAAUUUUCCUAUGUAAUUCUGUUCUUGCAGUUAAUGGUAUGUUCUGGUGAACUCUAAUAUCAUGGAAUUGCAG